rnacentral:rRNA from 1 species
GAUAAACGCUGGCGGCGCACAUAAGACAUGCAAGUCGAACGGACCAAAACCUUAGUUUACUUUGGUAGAGGUUAGUGGCGGACUGGUGAGUAACACGUAAGCAACCUGCCUAUCAGAGGGGAACAACAGUUAGAAAUGACUGCUAAUACCGCAUAUGCCAUAAUCACCACAUGGUGAUAGUGGGAAAGGAGCAAUCCGCUGAUAGAUGGGCUUGCGUCUGAUUAGAUAGUUGGUGGGGUAACGGCCUACCAAGUCGACGAUCAGUAGCCGGACUGAGAGGUUGAACGGCCACAUUGGGACUGAGACACGGCCCAGACUCCUACGGGAGGCCAGCAGUGAGGGAUAUUCGGGCAAUGGGGGAAACCUGACCGAGCAACGCCGCGUGAGGGA